GGUGGGGUGACAGAGCGGACUAUUGUGCCUGCUUGGAAAGCAGGUGGCCGAGAGGCCCCGUGGGUUCGAAUCCCACUCCCACCG
rnacentral:tRNA from 1 species